CUGCAGCAUAGGAGCUGUUCUCAGUAUGGGGCUCUCUUCAGUUUUGGGUAGGAUCCUUUCUACAGAAUGGAGCUGAAGAAAACUAUUAGUUAAAUCUCAUUAAUGCUAUAAAUUGUCUGAAGGAGAUAAUAUGCCUCUGAAAAAUGCUCUUGGGUAGAUGUGCUCUGGUCUCACACUUGUGCUGAAGUUCAAGGCAAGAAUACCAGUAAGGCAGGACAGGAAUCACCCUGGACAUGUGUGUCCCAACCCCUGUAGCCACAACAGCACCCUGGUGGCUGCUUUCUCCACCUGCAUGUUUCUCAGCAUCUGCCUUUUGUGGCUCUCCAGUGGCUGCACUGUCACUUUAUUCCCUGUGAAGUUUGGUCCUUAACACAUCAGUGAAGCUCAGAGAGUUUUAUUCCCUGCUAGAAAAGUGUUCACUUGACAACCUUUAGGGAAACUGAAAUUAGUGAAUGCAUUUGAUGUCCACACUCAACUGCUGUUUCUUGGGAUGCUCCUUUUCUGUUUCAUGAGGGCCAUAUCCUGCAAUUGGGUCUGCUGUGGUGUGCAUACCAAUAUACUCAUUAUGUAUAUCCUUUUCUAUAUGGUUGUAUGUGUUGCUGACAAACCUUAUUUGCUCUAUAUGUUUUGGUUUUAAAUAUGACAGAAGAGAGAGAGCAUGACAAUUCUUGUAACCUUUGUUAGCUACUUGGUGUGUCUAAUUUUUGCAAAUAAGCUGGAUUACAGAAAGCAAAAUUUAACAUUUGGAUGUGCUCAAACUAAAAAUGUUAUGUCUUCUCAUUGGUAAGGCCCACUUUAUAGAGGCUGUACCUUGAGUUUCUCUACAGUUGAAGUCCACAGACAAUAAGCUCUUUUGUGUCCAAUCUGGCUGAAAUGCAUUGAAAAAGUUGUAUUCCUUUUCUGCUUCAUUAACCAAUGGAAUAAAAGGUUGCUGUUUAUAGCA